ensembl:lncRNA
AUGGCAUGUAGGGAUCAUUUGAUAUUGUGGGAUCUGGACUCUGGCUACAUUAAAGGACGUAUCAAGACGUCCUACAAAGAAACCCUACUCUCCAGCAUGGACAGAGAUUCCCAAAUUAUGUCCUCAAAAGAGAAGACAGGCCUCGUAAUGCCAUGGGACAGGCGCACCGAAACCCAGACGGCAAAAAGGAGGCGACAGGACCGUGAGGUGAAGAGAGAAAAAGAUGAACAGCAGCGCCUCGAAAAAGAGAAAUUCAACUCUGUAGACCAGUAUCUUCUCAGCGGUGAUGAGCGGGUGGUCAUAUGCUCAUAUUUUGCCCAUCAUCUCAACGUCUUCAGUGUGGUUUCUGAGGAGCAUCUGCACACCCUUGAGGACCGCUGGUCCCUUUUGAGCCUCCGUACUGCCGCGAUCACUCACACUGGAGGGUACUUGGUGGUCUCCAACUACAGUGAGGCCCAACAUGCUCCAUACCUCACUGUUUGGGACACACAGCAGGGCAGAGUGCGAAAGAGAUUGAAAAAUGAAGCUGGAAUCUGUUGCAUUGCUGUGAGCGAUGAUGCCUGCAGAGUGGUUUUCGGCAUCGCAGGAUUCAACAAGUUAAAAGUAUGGGAGCCGUUCCGAAGGAAACAUAAAACCAUCUCUGGCUACGGAAGUUUAAAUCUUAACUGGUCCAGCUUGCUCUUUAUCACUGAAGGACAAUCCAAGGCUAUUUUAUUAGCAGAAGCAGUGAGCAUGUGGGACCUGGACAAUGGUACGAUGUUGUCUGUCUUCACACCUGACUCUAAGAUCCAGACCAUCUCUCUGUAUGGACUUGACAACAGCACACUGCUUUUGGGCUUUAGUGACAUGUCUACUCUAAUCUCCAUGACGGUCAGCAAACAAGAUGCACACACAAAACCCAGCACUGCUUGUGGAAAAGACCUGUUUGGGGAAUCCAGCAGUAGUGAAGAUGAGGGAGAUGUAGAAACAAACAAGAACUGAUAGGAAGAGCACUGGAUGUGUACUGUAUAAUAUAGGAAUUCGGUCUGAAUGGAAAUAAAGGGCUUUAAGAUCUCUUACA